GUGGGCUCUGGAGAGUUUAGCACUGCUUUUAGUUAUACGAUGUUCCUUCCAGUUCUGCUGCUGCUGGCAGCUUCAUCCUAUGUGGAAUGUGCAGUAGAGCUCACUCAGGACACCUCAGUGAUGUUAAAGCCUGGAGAUUCUUUAAUCCUCAGCUGUAAAGUAUCCGGUUACUCACUUACUGAUAACAGCUACGCCACAGCUUGGAUUCGACAUCCUGCAGGGAAAACUCUGGAAUGGAUAAACAACAUUUGGGGGGGUGGAAGUAUAGGUUAUAAAGAGUCUCUAAAAAGCAAGAUCAGUAUUUCUAAAGAUGCCUCCAGCAGCACGGUGACACUGAGAGGACAGAACAUGCAGACUGAAGACACAGCUGUGUAUUACUGCGCUCGUGUAAAUAAAGCCUCUAGAGGGUUUCAGCCUAUACCAGAAUGA